AUUAGAGAGUUAUCAGCUGGUAUUCUCCAUGUUUUUACAAGUCUUUUUGAUUGUCUAUGGAGAAUGGCAAGAUGCUCACAUGGAGGUUCGUUACAUUGAUGUUGAUUACAUUGUUUUUUUAAUGCUGCUUCGUUGAUGGCAUCUGGUGAAUCUCCUUACAAGAGAGCCACAUACCGAUAUUCGCCUUUGCUCGCCCUUCAUUGGACAUUUGGAAAGGCUAUCCUUACUAUAUUGAAAGAACAUAAGGUGCCUGAGAAGAUAUGUACAUAUUCUGUAAUGGUUUGGCUUUUCAAUCCGUUUACAUUCACUAUUAGAACCAGAGGGAACUGUUAACCCAUGGUUUGUGCCAUAGUAUUAUGGAUCAUCAUCUCUCUUAUGCAAGGUUGCUCCGUACCAAAAAAAAUAAGACGACUCGCUUUCUAAAGAUCCUGCUGGCAAGAUUCUGCGUAAGGAGCUUACUAAAAUUUUUGUGGAUGAUGAGUUUCUUUUGCUCAAACAUUUUUCUCCAGAUGGCUUGCGGGGUAAAAGCGACACCAUUGUGAAGAAAUCUCUUGCUCCGCUUAAACCAUACACUGUGUGAUGGUAGCUCGCCCUACCAUGCGCCUAACUGAUUGGAGAGGGUUCGGGGUAAAAGAGAUGAUGGAGGGAUCAUAGUUAUGACUAGGGCUUCUUCAUCAGCUUUCGGUGGUGGUUGUGGUGGCAGUGGCGGCGGUGACAGCGAUUGUGGUGGCAGUCACUGUGGCGGUGGUGGUGGAUGUGGUGGACGGGGAGGAGGAGGUGGACGUGGAGGUGGAUGUGGAUGUGGGGUGGCUAUUAAAACUCAAGGUUAUCUUAGUUAUUAAUUAGGUAAUUAUAGUUAUUUAUCUAUGUUUUGAGAAUUAGCUUUUUUGUCACUGGGUUAAUUACCGUGGUAAUAACGGCAUUGUUCUUUCGAUCUUAGCUAUUGUAUCCUUCUUUAAUGGGUUAUAAAGUGUUAGAUCCUGUCUUGGAUCUAUGUAAUGCAUAAAAGAUCGACUCUUGACUG